CACAUCAAUCUUUCACUCUAAAAUUGAGCCACUCCCCUCCCUUUGACUUUCAUAUCUUCCUGGUUUCCGAAGAUAUAUUCUUUCUCUAUAACUCUCUGGUCUUAAACCUUCCAGCGGUUUUCUCUUUAUCCUUCUUAUUUUUAUUCGCUAGUGGAAGCCAUUUUGGUCAAUUCACCCUUUCUACCCCCCCUGAAUGGAGUCUAUUCCAGAGAAUCUUGGUAUCCUUGGGUCCUCUCCAUCUUUUGUGCCCAGUGAGACUGCUGCUUUGCUCCCUGCUGGUGGAAAAUCCCUUGGUCGCUCUUGACGUGCAGUAGCUCGUUCCCUCACUUCUCUAUUCAAUUUGGAAAGCUGCACAAAUCAAUGAGCUAUCUGUUGAAGGUCGGCGUGCAAGUCCUUCAAAGAUAAGAAUGGCUAAUUUGGGAAGCUCGUAGGUCAAAGAUGAUGAUGCAGGUGCCAUCAUGCUGUAGUGCAGUGACACAUACUCGUUGAUGGCUGAGUAUGGUGGCAACUAGUGGACACCAGAGCCUGAAGAGCAUGAUCUUGGUUGUGCUUGCGAUACAUGUGCGUAUGUUGCAUCUUGAGCCGAGAGUAGAGAUGCCAUCUUCUUUGGUGUCGUAUUUUUGGAUGUUAUUUUGUGGAUUGGUGUUAUUUUAUGGAUUAAUAUACUUAUGUUUUGGUAAAUUGUGGUAAGGAAUAAACUUGUUAUGUAAUAUAUACUUAACACUAGUUCUUCCCUUAUGGAUUUACAUGAUUUCACUUAUAUUGUA